UGUCUGUGUUUUAGGACUUUCCUCCAGGUGACGUCAGGAUGUUUGGGGUCUUCAUUUCUGAACUUGGGCGUCACUCUCUGGCUGAGGACAGACCUGAAGAAGUCCAACUAUCAGACGGGUUUAUCUCUCUUCAACACUCCCAAAACAGUCUGAACUCCGUCCAGCCUGCGGGACCUUCGCAAGACCCAGGCUCCUCCCACACUCCUGUCACUAGGGAGCGACAGAAGAACAGUGAGCGGCAGCGAGCCCACAGCACCUCAACUUUGGCAGCCUCCGUUGGCCUGCCCUCUCCCCUCUCUCCACUGCACAGUGCUGAGUGGCAUGCUAGCGAGAGGCUGAGCCAAGCCAACUUGGAUGCCAUCACCUUCCCAGGCAUCCCGCAACCCAGCACAGGUGAUGGUGAUGGCAGUAACACUACUGGCUUCAAUGAAACCCUGGUGAUGGACAGACAGACAAGACACAGUUUGAGUGACGCCAGCAUAUUAGAAGACACUGCAAAGGACAUGUAUAGAGGAAGAGCUUUCAGUUUAGAGAUGAGAGCAGGUUAUUCUGCAGAAAACAGUAAACAAGUUUUGCCCCAUUUCCAGUUUACAUCCCCACCAAACACGACGGACAGUGGAAACAUCAUGUCAUCUCCUCCCCCAUCCUCCCAUUCGUCCAUUCCCCAACACCUGUUCUCACUGCGGAUCUCAGAGUCCAGCCUCUUCAGCUCUAUCGACCAGCAGCAACUACUAGAAUCCUCCACAGGCCAAUCGCAGAAGAACUUUGAUGAGGUCUUCCUCCAAAAUCCUGCCUCUCCGUCACCUCCUCUGCCAAUCAAAGAGACUAGCAUCUUGGAGGACUUUCCUCCUCCUCCUCCCCUGGAGUUAGAGCAGGAAGCUGGACACCAGACUGUGGAAAGGUUUGUUGUAGAAUAUUUUUAAACCUGAAUUGAAAUAUUAUGAUUAUGGACCUUUUUUUAAUUUUCUCUUUUUCCAUUUCUCCGUUCUCUUCCCUGUAUUCAGUCCUACCAUGGAGUUCCUAAACAACUCCAUCAUUACUACCAGGAAGUUAUCCCUGCACUCCCCUUCAAUGUCACCUUCCUCCUCCGUAUUUCCUUUGCCUUGGCCCAUCCUUCUUCCAACCCAGAAGCCACAGCCCUCCACCAUCACCUCCAUCACCACAUCCACUACAACCAAGGACAGCCUAAGUCUAGAGUACCAGCCCCUGCCCAAGAGGGAAAAGACAUCCGAUGAGCUACGAGUGGAGGCGCUGGCCCUUCAGCUGGUGGGUACCAGGAGCUGUAACUGCUAACUCAUCAGUGUACCUAGUUCUCACUCAUACUUAUUUCUCACACUAUCUUUGUCUUUGUACAUAGUUUAGACUC
rnacentral:lncRNA from 1 species